rnacentral:rRNA from 1 species
GAUGAACGCUGGCGGUAUGCUCAACACAUGCAAGUCGAACGGACUCUUCGGAGUUAGUGGCGGACGGGUGAGUAACGCGUGAGAAUCUGGCUUUGGGUUCGGGACAACCACUGGAAACGGUGGCUAAUACCGGAUGUGCCGAGAGGUAAAAGAGAAAUUGCCUGAAGAUGAGCUCGCGUCUGAUUAGCUAGUUGGUGAGGUAAAGGCUCACCAAGGCAGCGAUCAGUAGCUGGUCUGAGAGGAUGACCAGCCACACUGGGACUGAGACACGGCCCAGACUCCUACGGGAGGCAGCAGUGGGGAAUUUUCCGCAAUGGGCGAAAGCCUGACGGAGCAAUACCGCGUGAGGGAAGAAGGCUCUUGGGUUGUAAACCUCUUUUCUUAGGGAAGAACAAAAUGACGGUACCUAAGGAAUCAGCAUCGGCUAACUCCGUG